rnacentral:rRNA from 1 species
AUUGAACGCUGGCGGCAGGCCUAACACAUGCAAGUCGAGCGGAUGAAGGGAGCUUGCUCCUGGAUUCAGCGGCGGACGGGUGAGUAAUGCCUAGGAAUCUGCCUUGUAUUGGGGGAUAACGUCCGGAAACGGGCGCUAAUACCACAUACGUCCUGAGGUAGAAAGGGGGGGAUCUUCGGACCUCACGCUAUCAGAUGAGCCUAGGUCGGAUUAGCUAGUUGGUUGGGUAAAGGCCUACCAAGGCGACGAUCCGUAACUGGUCUGAGAGGAUGAUCAGUCACACUGGAACUGAGACACGGUCCAGACUCCUACGGGAGGCAGCAGUGGGGAAUCUUGGACAAUGGGCGAAAGCCUGAUCCAGCAAUGCCGCGUGUGUGAAGAAGGUCUUCGGAUUGUAAAGCACUUUAAGUUGGGAGGAAGGGCAGUAAGUUAAUCCCUUGCUGUUUUGACGUUACCAAAAGAAUAAGCACCGGCUAACUUCGUG